ensembl:lncRNA
UUCCCUCUCUCUCUCUCAGGUCUCAUUCCCUCUCUCUCUCUCAGGUCUCCUUCCCUCUCUCUCUCAGGUCUCAUUCCCUCUUUCUCUCAUUCCCUCUCUCUCUCUCAGGUCUCAUUCCCUCUCUCUCUCUCAGGUCUCAUUCCCUCUCUCUCUCAGGUCUCAUUCCCUCUCUCUCUCAGGUCUCAUUCCCUCUUUCUCUCAUUCCCUCUCUCUCUCUCAGGUCUCAUUCCCUCUCUCUCUCUCAGGACUCAUUCCCUCUUUCUCUCAUUCCCUCUCUCUCUCUCAGGUCUCAUUCCCUCUUUCUCUCAUUCCCUCUCUCUCUCUCAGGUCUCAUUCCCUCUUUCUCUCAUUCCCUCUCUCUCUCUCAGGACUCAUUCUCUCUCUCUCUCAGGUCUCAUUCUCUCUCUCUCUCAGGUCUCAUUCCCUCUCUCUCUCUCUCUCUCUCUCAGGUCUCAUUCCCUCUCUCUCUCUCUCAGGUCUCAUUCCCUCUGUCAGGUCUCAUUCCCUCUCUCUCUCUCUCUCUCAGGUCUCAUUCUCUCUCUCUCUCUCUCUCUCUCUCUCUCUCUCUCUCUCAGGUCUCAUUCUCUCUCUCUCUC